GAAUAGAGGUUGCAACUUUUAUAAGUAACAAUAAUCUUAAUGUAGGUUAGAUGUUUAUUGUGAAAGGAGAAGUUGCCGAAAUUAGAAAAUUUAACACCUUACUUAAAUUUUUUAGUUGGGUUAAAGUAGAAUAUGCUUUAAACUGUCAUAAAGUCAUUUUAUGGAGAGCUUUUC
rnacentral:ncRNA from 1 species